GUGCUGUGCUUUCUCUAUCCUAUCCACCACUCCAGGGACGUAGUGCCAGCUGCUGCCCCCACCCCUACUUUGGUUAAGCUUUCUGAGCUUUCUGAGUAUAAUCUCAACUGCCUGUAAACACACACACCCCUCGGACAGCCACCUAGUUUGGAUUUAACCUGCUUUUGCAUGGUUCUUUCAGGGGGCAUCCCACAGUACAACCUGACUUUCUUUUACGGUCAUUUUGCAAGCAGUAGCUCAUUUCCAAAGCCUUCUCGCAUCUAGCUUCCACCCAAGUACAGACCUGUUUAUGCAUUUUUAACCCAAGGAGAAAUAGUUUCGCAAGGGUCUGUAAAAGUAAUUGACACCACUGGCUGAUAAUUCUAUAAUGGCCCUAUUAACCACGGGGUAUUCUGUUUACUUCACAGCUCAAGAAGGUGACCCUUUCUGAUGAAGGGAUUCAUCGAGAUCUGCUCUUAGCAGUGAAUGAUAUUUUAUUCUAAACUCGCGCUCUAAAAUUUAGUUCCAUGACUUUGUAAAUGAGUAUAAUCCAGAGACUCCUUUGAUCGUCGCCUCUUUCUCAUAAUGAUGUGUUAUUAGCCUCACUCUUCAGCAGGUAGAGAUCCUUUUUAAUCACGCUGUUCCCCCAAGAAUUCAUUAAAAUACAAUUAAAAAGUUAUAAUAGCUUCAAAUACAUUUCAAAAAGACCACCGGAGGGUGAGGGUUAGAUGAACAGUUGUGUAAAGGAAGCCUAUUCGUCUCCCGCACCUCUUUGGAGAAGUCGUUCCAAUGAACAUGGCAUUUUCUCAAGGACGAAAAUAAACAAACUGAAUGUGUGA